GUCACACAGUGACUGGUUUUGUGCAAACAAAAUGGCAAAAUCCCUUUAAUCCGAGCUAAGAUCCUUAGAGUGUCCAAAAUGUCCUUGCAGACGGGAGCGAGUGGCUCGGGCGGCGGCGGUGGCGGCGGCGGGAGCAGCGGGAACUCCGAGGAGACGCGGCGCAUCUGGGUGGGCAACCUGGACUCGCGCAUCACCGAGUUUCAACUCCUCAAACUGAUGCAAAAAUGCGGCGCCAUCGAGAAGUUCGACAUGCUGUUCCACAAGGGCGGUCCCAUGGUGGGACAAUCCCGGGGCUACGCCUUCGUCACCUUCGCGCAGAACGAAGGCGCCACCAAUGCUUUGCUGAAACUGGACGGAACCAGCGUGGGAAACCGCUCGAUAGCCGUGCGCCUGGCCAAGAACAUCAAAUAUGAUGAUUUGCAAAAGCCCAAGCCGCGCCUGGAGAUACCAGCCUUGGGCACUGGCAAGCGGGAGGAGAAGAUUAGCAAAACCGAGGCCAUACGCGCCAUCGAGGCCAAACUGAAAGUGCUAGAGCGGCAGACUGACGACAAUCUCGAGCUGAACACAGCCGGCAGGGGAGAGGCCAACGUGCCCUUCAUCCAGCGCUACCAGUUCAACAAAGACCGGGACGGAUCGCAGCGCUAUGGCAAGUCCUCGGCCCCAUAUCACCGGCAGCAGCGUCCCAAGCGGCGCUAGGCUCUCCGAUUAAGACUUCGCCACCGCCUCACCCUCGUAGUGUGUAAAAAUCGAACAAUCAGAACGACGGAGGUCUAUUUGGGUGCGAACUUGACCUUGCCGCGCAUGUGAUCGGGCAGCGGAACGGUUCCGGGACAGGGCACCUGGCCGGGUAUCUCGCAGAUGCAGUGCCUGCCGCAUCCGUAGCCGAAGUUGGCCGGGUUGUCCUUGCUCUCCUUCAGGCGCGCCUCCGCAUCCAGUUGCUCCCUGGAAAUGUCGAAUGAAAAAGGUUUUUACUAUCUAUAUUUAAGGCUUGAUUAUCGGGUAGAAGAUAUCUGCUUGAAUCAACAGUGCGAAUUGAUACAUUUUGUUAAAAUAGCCCGUUAACUAUACCCCUGUCAAUCAUAAUUUUAACUUGGCCAGAAUCCUGUCGUAAAUCGCCUGACUUAUCUCUUUUAUACUGUAGAAUUUUUGUAUUUUCCACCAUAUGCUACAUAAUGAUAUAGACUCCAGAAACUGGUGUUCAUUUUACACAUAAUCAUACAUAGUUCUCAAAUUUUGAAAUUGUUUGCCCGUAGAAGUUCAUUUAGACUGGAUAAAUAUUUAUACUAUUUUGUACUUAAUAAUAAGAAAACAACGCAGCUAAGAUUAGUUAAAAAGUGUUAUGAAAAACAAGAGCAUGCAUUAAAUUGUUCUGUCAAUAUCAGAA